rnacentral:rRNA from 1 species
GACAGAGGGUGCAAACGUUGCUCGGAAUUACUGGCGUAAAGCGCGUGUAGGUGGAUUGGUGUGUCAGAUGUGAAAGCCCUGGGCUCAACCCAGGAACUGCACCUGAAACUACCAGUCUUGAGUGGUGGAGAGGGAAGUGGAAUUCCUGGUGUAGAGGUGAAAUUCGUAGAUAUCAGGAGGAACACCAGUGGCGAAGGCGGCUUCCUGGACACUAACUGACGCUGAGACGCGAAAGCGUGGGGAGCAAACAGG